rnacentral:rRNA from 1 species
UAUGAACGCUGGUGGCGUGCCUAAUACAUGCAAGUCGAGCGGACCAAAGAGAGCUUGCUCUCUGAGGUUAGCGGCGGACGGGUGAGUAACACGUGGGUAACCUGCCUGUAAGACGGGGAUAACUUCGGGAAACCGAAGCUAAUACCGGAUGAUAAAGAGAAACGCCUGUUUUUCUUUUGAAAGUCGGCCUUGUGCUGACGCUUACAGAUGGGCCCGCGGCGCAUUAGCUAGUUGGUGAGGUAACGGCUCACCAAGGCGACGAUGCGUAGCCGACCUGAGAGGGUGAUCGGCCACACUGGGACUGAGACACGGCCCAGACUCCUACGGGAGGCAGCAGUAGGGAAUCUUCGGCAAUGGACGAAAGUCUGACCGAGCAACGCCGCGUGAGCGAUGAAGGCCUUCGGGUCGUAAAGCUCUGUUGUCAGAGAAGAACAAGUACCGGAGUAACUGCCGGUACCUUGACGGUACCUGACCAGAAAGCCACGGCUAACUACGUGCCAGCAGCCGCAGUAA